UCUGCUUAUGGAUUUCACAUGGAAGUCUCUGUGGUUGGAGUUCUGAAUGUCAUGGAUUCAAGCAACUCUGAUGUCAGAGGCAAUCUGCAGUUCAAGGAGUCAGUAGCUAGGAAGAGAAGGUGAGAGGAAGAGAGAAGCCUGUGAACAUGUCAAAAUGCAACAAGUGAAUUACUGGUCCUUCAAGUAUAAUAAAGCAAGGGAGGAAGCUGAUGGGUGCAGUGUUGCCGUCUGUUGAAGUGGUGAGAAACAGGAGUGAUUUGUCCUGGAGAAAUCCAUCCCCUCAAUGAUUAUGCUCUGGUUGAGAAAGUCCAAAAGUAACCUUUUUGACCUACCAUCAAUUAAGGUCCCAAAGUGGCUAAUUAAUGAACACCUUUGACAGGUACUGCCAGACCUGUUGAAAUUUGCCAGCAAUUUCUAUUUUUAUGACAAGACAUCUCUCUGGUAGCCACUGAUGUACUUUUGAAGUAUAGACACCAUUGCUUUGUAGCCGAUUUGCAUGCAUAAAUAUCAAUGUGAUCAUGAGUAGAUAAUUCCUCUUUGUGACAUUGAUUAACAGAUCAAUUCUGGUCAGAAUACCGGAGAUAAAUCCCCUUCUUUCUUUGAAACAAUACAAUGGGAUCAAUGUAUCCACCUGAAGGCAGACUGGGGUCUCAGAAUUUAAGGGCUGUGGCUAUUGACACCACAUUCAUAUGCAUGCAUCAAUGCACUCAUGUUAGGCUUUGCUUAAAUUUGUGAAUCACAUUAAAAUCAUUUGGUUUUGAACCCGGUGCAGCAUAGAGGGUGAAGUUAACCACCCCUCCCACCAGGCCUCCUUCCCACACCCCUGCCCUGGGUUGCUUUCCAGGUCCCCCCCACCCCACAAGCCUCUUACCCACUCCCUUGGUGUGGGCAAACCCUUGGGCUGCGUUGUUCAGAGGGACAUUGGUCCCUAACCUUUCUCUCUGCUUGAACUUUCCCACUGAUACUCAUGGCCAUUGACUGAAAACUGGUAAAUCACCAAGACGUGAGAUUCUACAGCCCAGAAUAUUAAAGACGGUGGCAAUGGAAAGAGUGGAUGCAUUGGUUGUCAUGUUCCAAAAUUCUUUCGAUUCUGAAACAGUCCAGCAGACUAGAGGGUCACAAAUAUAAUCUCACUGUUCAAAAAAGGAGAAGGGGAGAAAAGUGGAAAUUACAGCCGAUUACCCUAACAUCAAUUGUCGGGGAAGUGCUGGAGUCUACUGUAAAGAGUGUGGUAAUAGGACACUUAGAAAAUACAAAAUUUAAGAAAAAUGAAAGAACUGUAGAUGCUGGAAAUCAGAAACAAAAACAGAAAUUUGACCUGAAACAUUAAUGAUUUCUCUCCACAGAUGCUGCCUGAUCGGCUGAGUUUUUCCAGCAAUUUAUGUUUUUGACUUAGAAAAUACAAAUGUAUUAAACAAAGUCAACAUUGAUUAAAGAAAGGGCAAUCAUGUUAGAAAAACCAACUGGUGUUUUUCGAGGACAUAACUAGUAGGAUAGAUGAGCAACAACCAUUGAUUGUGCUGUAUUUGGAUGUUCAGAAGGCUUUUGAUAAAAUCCAACAUAAGAGGUCACUGUGAAAAACCAAAAAACCUGAGACUAGUGGUAAUAUGGACUGAGAAUUAGUUAGGAGACCAGAAAAUGAAAGUAGAAAUAAAUGGGUCAUUUUUGGAAUGGAGGGUGGUGACCACUGAUGUACCAUUGGGAUCAAUGCUUAGGCCUCAGCUUUUCUCAAUAUAUGUCAAUGAUCUGGAUGAGAGAAUCAAAUGUAAUAUUUCCAAGUUCGCUGAUGAUGCAAAAUUAGAUGGGAUUGAGAGUAGUGAUGAUGUUGUGAGGGGCUUAAGGGUAGUUUAGACAAGGUGAGUGAGUGGCCGAAAUAGUGUGAUGUCAAUAAUGGUGAAGUUGCCCACUUUAGUUGGAAAAACAGAUUGACACAGCAUUACUUAAAUUGUAAUAGUUUGAGAAAUAGUGAUUUACAAAGGGAUCUGGAAUCCAGUACACUGAAAGCAAGCAUGGUACGUGCAGCAAGUAUGUUUGUCUUAAUAGCAAGAGGAUUUGAGUAAGGAGCAAGAACAUCAUACUGCAGCUAUAUAGGGCAUUCGUGAGACCACACCUGCAAUGUUGUGUGAUGUGGGUAAAUUGUCUUCACCUAAGAUAGACUUGCCAUGAGGAGGUGCAGCAAAGCAUCACCAGAUGAUUCAUGGGAUGCCAGAUUUGUUCUUUGAAGAGUGUUUGGACCAAUCAGGCCUAUAUUCCCUGGAGAUUAGAAGAAUGAGACCUCAUUGAGAUGGCUGGGCUAGACAGGUUGGAUGCAAAGGUGGUGUUUUCCCUGCCAGGGUUCCAAAACAAGGGGUCAUGGUCUCAGGCUACAUGGAAGGCCAUUCCAGUCGGAGUUGAGGAGAAAUUUAUUCACUCAGAGGGUGCUGAUGUGUGGAAUUCUCUUUUGGGCCAAGUCAGUGAAUAUUAAAAAGAGAAACAUUUCCAUAAGCUACAGGAGUCAAGGGGGAUGGAGAGAGCACAGAAGUGUGGCAUUGAGAGAGAGAGAGGCUCAGACAUAUUGAAUGAGCUUGAUGGGAAAAAUGACCUACUUCUGUGCUUUUCCCCAAUAUUUUCUAGAUGUGUCUUCCUGGAGAAUACAUUUCAACAGUCAGAUGGAGUUUCAUUGUAACAAUAAAGCACAAUCCUUGAAACAACAUGAUUGAAAAUACAUGCCUUGUAUUUCUGGCCUUGCCUUGGCAGAGACACAAAAGUAGUGGUGCCCAAGUAUUGUGCCCCUUGUGGCCAGCUCACUCACAUUGAAUAUUCAGAUUGGGUAUGAACCAGAAGGGCAGACUAUUGCUUGGGCCCAAAUAUCAUGAUGUACUGUUCAACAUUGUUACCAUUGUCUGUUAGUCUUCAAUAGAAAAUAAUGGGCAGUUUGAAGAAAAUAAACAUGAGUCAAAACAAACUGAACUCACUGUCAGCCAUUUUUAGGCAGGAGACUGCUCAGAGCCAUUCAGACCAUGUAAAAAGAUGGAUAAACAAUGAGUCAGAAUGGACGGAAAGCCAGAAAGAAUUUCACUGAGACACAGAACAGUUAGAGAAAUGGAUUAACUGUAGGAUGUUAAUUUUAUUAAGUUAUUCAAAUAAAUUACCAGAACAGAUUAAUAUCUCUUUUAUAACAUCUGAAGCACAAAGCAGAGAAUGAACCAUCAUCCUACGUAGCAUCUUCCAUCAACACUUUUGCAACUGGAGAAUUCUACAGAAUUGGGCAUAUCACAGAUGUUAAACUCAUUCUUCCAUUAAUAGAAACUUGAGAACUUUCUUCAGAGACAGUAUCAAUUAUAAAUAUAAGCUCUUUCUGGAUGUGUAAUGAAACAUGACAGGUGUGAUACACAGUGAGAAUCCCAACAUCUGUAAUAAGGAAAACCUAGAGAAAAUGAAUACCAUGACCAACUUCACUGGGAGUUUCUCUAAUGCAAAACUUUCAGCCACGAAAAUUCUCUGAACAGGUGAGAUGAGAUGUCAGGCUAGAUUUUGCUUUGACCUGACAGACUCGGUCAGGCCAGAGCCAGCUAAGAUGGGAACUAUGUUUAAAGAUACCUGCACCUGCCAGGGGCAGACAUGGUCACCUCAUCAGCCCUUCCUUUUAUUUCUGCUUCAUUCCAGGCUGGCACUGGCCUCAUCUAUAAUAUGGGCCAAAGUACAACCCAUGCAUAUACAGACCAUGUAACAGUGAUUGAAACAUAAUCACAUUUUUUUUUCCUGAAAAUAUGUCCACAAGAAGAUCCUCAAAGUGGACUAUAAUGGUAUCUUUAAAAAUGCAUUCAAUAAAAUAGCACACAUUAGGCAUGUAAGCAAAACUGACAUCCAUGGCAUAAAAGAUGUAUUAAAUAGCCAAUUGUGCAUCCAAACUGCUAAGGAAUAGAAAAAGUUGUGAAUGCCAGGCUUUGGUCUGGAGAAGAGUAUACAAUGGAGGUCUCUGAAAACAUCACAGUUUUGAUUUUAUUCAUGACUUAAAUUCAACAGAAUGGGGCACAAUUUUGAAAACUGCAGAUGACAAGAAACUUGAAAGGAGAGGCUAUACAUGUCUAACAGCUUCAGGAUUCUGGAGCACCCUUAUGAUGAUAUCACAGAGCUGCACAUCACUGAGCAUAAAAGAGCAGAAUGGGUAAAGCUAUACCAAACUACAUGACACUAGCCAUGAUUCCACACUCUAAAAUCAGAGAGUUUUGAGAGCACACUGAAUAAAUGAAGAAAGCAAAUUAGUCUUUGCCUAAUGUAACUAUAAGAACAGAGCCUAGUCUAUGAUCA